CGCGUAGGAAUCUACCUAGAUGUGGGGGAUAACAUGGUGAAAAUCAUGCUAAUACCGCAUAUGCCCUACGGGGUAAAGAGGGCCUCUUCUUGAAAGCUCUUGCAUUUAGAUGAGCCUGCGUCGGAUUAGCUUGUUGGCGGGGUAAUGGCCCACCAAGGCGACGAUCCGUAGCUGGUCUGAGAGGAUGAUCAGCCACACUGGGACUGAGACACGGCCCAG
rnacentral:rRNA from 1 species